UCCAUGUUUGAUCUAAUAGUUCCGGUUUUCAUUACAGCGUAUCGGUAAUAACACUCGUCUUUUCACAAUAUUUUCGACUCCAAUUUCUCAAAAUGUUAAAAGAAGUUAUUGCCAAUUUUGUGAAUUUCAAGUGAAAAGGAGUUUGGAAUAGAAUUGUACUGCCAAGAUGGAAAAACUUAGUCGCUGAAUCAUAUGUUAGCAUUGAAAUUAUUGAUACGACAAUUGGGGAGAAUUUAAAUAUCUAGGCGUAGAAUCUUUUCUUUGAUUAUGCAAUAUAUACAUAUAUGCAUGCAAUUCUAAACAGGUUUUGGAAUUGUUGGGAACCAAUGCAGUAAUCUUAAUUUUUCAUCAAUGAGUGAGCGGCAAAGGCUCGCGAAGCUGUUGAGGAACUGUUCCAAGAAUGGGUUAUUUGAUCAAGGAUUGCAAGUUCAUGCAGCUGCGGUGAAUAUGGGAUUUGGGUUUGAUUUGAUAAUGAACAAUGAUCUCAUAGAUAUGUACGGAAAAUGUAGCAGGGUUGACUUGGCCUGCUCUGUGUUUGAUAGAAUGCUUGAGAGAAAUGUGGUGUCUUGGACUGCUCUCAUGUGUGGUUAUUUACAGGAGGGUAAUGCCAAAGGAUCAUUGGCUCUCUUGUGCGAAAUGGGAUAUUCGGGUGUUAAGCCAAAUGAAUUCACUUUCUCCACCAGUCUUAAAGCUUGUGGAGCUUUGGGUGUCGUGGAGAAUGGAAUGCAGAUUCAUGGAAUGUGUGUUAAAAGUGGGUUUGAAUGGGUUUCUGUGGUGGGCAAUGCUACCAUUGACAUGUACUCAAAAUGUGGGAGAAUUGGUAUGGCGGAGCAGGUGUUCAAUAAGAUGCCUUUUAGGAAUCUUGUAAGUUGGAAUGCAAUGAUUGCGGGACAUACCCAUGAAGGAAAUGGCAGGAAAUCUCUAGUUUUAUUCCAGAGAAUGCAAGGACAGGGGGAAGUCCCAGAUGAAUUCACAUUUACAAGCACUUUAAAGGCUUGUGGUGCUCUUGGAGCAAUCCGCGGAGGAACCCAAAUUCAUGCUUCCUUAAUAACAAGGGGCUUUCCAAUUUCCAUUCGUAAUAUUAUUGCAAGUGCAAUUGUUGAUUUGUAUGCAAAAUGUGGGUACUUAUUUGAAGCACAAAAAGUAUUUGAUCGAAUUGAACAGAAGAAUUUGAUAUCAUGGUCUGCUCUAAUUCAAGGUUUUGCUCAAGAGGGAAACCUACUAGAGGCCAUGGACUUGUUUAGACAACUAAGGGAGAGUGUCUCUAACGUCGAUGGAUUUGUUCUCUCAAUCAUGAUGGGUGUCUUUGCUGAUCUUGCUCUGGUAGAGCAAGGGAAGCAAAUGCAUUGCUACAUCCUUAAAGUGCCAUCUGGUUUGGACAUUUCAGUAGCUAAUUCAAUCAUUGAUAUGUACCUCAAGUGUGGGUUAACAGAAGAAGCAGAAAGGCUUUUCAGUGAAAUGCAGGUGAGAAAUGUAGUUUCUUGGACAGUUAUGAUCACUGGGUAUGGAAAGCAUGGUCUUGGAGAAAAAGCCAUUCAUCUCUUCAACAGAAUGCAGUUAGAUGGCAUUGAACUGGAUGAGGUGGCUUACUUGGCACUGCUCUCAGCCUGUAGCCAUUCAGGACUAAUAAGAGAAAGUCAAGAAUACUUCUCAAGAUUGUGUAACAACCAUCAAAUGAAACCUAACAUUGAGCAUUAUGCUUGCAUGGUUGAUAUCCUUGGCCGUGCUGGUCAACUAAAAGAAGCAAAGAAUCUAAUAGAGAACAUGAAGCUAAAACCAAAUGAAGGUAUAUGGCAGACAUUGCUCAGUGCUUGUAGAGUACAUGGCAACUUGGAAAUAGGGAGAGAAGUAGGAGAGAUUCUAUUUAGGAUGGACACUGAUAAUCCGGUCAAUUAUGUAAUGAUGUCCAAUAUUUAUGCUGAGGCCGGCUACUGGAAAGAGUGUGAAAGAGUGAGAAAAUUGGUUAAGGCAAAAGGGUUGAAGAAAGAAGCAGGACAGAGUUGGGUUGAGAUUAACAAGGAGAUCCAUUUUUUCUAUGGUGGAGAUGACACGCACCCAUUAACAGAGAAAAUUCAUGAGAUGUUAAAGGAAAUGGAAAGAAGGGUGAAAGAAGAGGUGGGUUAUGCUUAUGGGUUGAGGUUUGCAUUGCAUGAUGUGGAGGAGGAGUCAAAGGAGGAAAACUUGAGAGUUCACAGUGAGAAGUUGGCAAUUGGAUUGGCAUUGGUUUGCGAUGGUAUGGAAAAGAAGGGAGGAGUUAUUCGCGUUUUCAAGAACUUGAGAGUUUGUGGGGAUUGUCAUGAGUUCAUCAAGGGUUUAUCAAAAAUUUUGAAGAAGGUGUUUGUGGUGAGAGAUGCUAAUAGAUUUCACAGGUUUGAGGAUGGAUUAUGUUCCUGUGGAGAUUAUUGGUGAUGCUGCUUGAGCACCAUGGUGCAAUCACCAUGCAUUGUAAGUUAUCAUUUUUUAAAUUACACGAAACCCUUCUUCAAUAACAACUUUCAAGUUUGGUUCGAAUUUGCAUGCAUGCUGACAAUUGCUUCCCAGAUCACAACACAUAACCCUGCACUUCAUUUCAUUACAAAUGGGAAGGAGAAUUUGUCAUGAAAAAUGGGGAUUUCACCCCAUGGAUGUUGUUAACAUUUGGUCAUAAACAGUGAUUGCUAAUGUGUAAAUGCACCAAUAUUUAUAAGUUCCAACCAUAGUAUUGUACAAGAAUACAUUUGGAUCACCAAACCCUUCAAGCAAAAGCAGACCCAAGUUUCUCCAGUGUUGCCAUACAUCUGCCACUUUUUGUCCCCAAAAAUUUGCUUUAUGAUAGAGAAAACCAAUGAUGCAGGCAAGUAUUUUCUUUGAUUCUAUUUACACGAUUAACAGACAUUGAUGGAAUUAUCUUGAAUAAAGAGACAUGAAAUAAUGAAGCAGACAUAGUGAAAGCUAUGUGACCCUUUAAAUGGAAUAUAGUUGGUAUCAAUGUUGAGAAGACCAUUUGAGCUGGAUGACAUUUUUAGUUCACUUAAUCCACUUGUUAUCAUUGACUAAUUUUGCCUUAUAAAUAACACAGGUAUCGAUUAUCUUUCUUUUAAUAAUAUUUUUACUUGUCUGGAAUUUUCUUUUGAAUUUUCAUUUCUAGAAAUGAUUUCUCCAAGGUACAAUUUUGGUCACCAUAUUUCUUAUACUUGUUUUGCAAAUGUCUUUUCUGCUUAGAUAAUUUUUUUAUUCACGUAGCAAGUUGUCCAGAUUAGUGCAAUUGUCAGGGUUACCUAACAAUUGAUUCGAGGCAGUUUUGUUGUAAAUACUAACAAGUCUAGACCAGUGGUGCAGCUGCAAAGUAUGUCUUUCCUAUAAAUCUCUCGUUUUCCCAGAAACAAAACAGAGCUCAAAACACAGCCCUGGUGGGCACAAGGCACAGGGGGCCCAAAACAAAAGAUGGGGACACUUCUUACCAUUAUCAGCUGUGUGGACAGACAUUAUUUGAUUGCCUCUAGAAACAAACCUUUUUUCAGACACACUUUCCCGGAAAACCAUACAGAGAAAGGACAAAAAAGUAGGAGGAAGAAGGCCUGUAUGCACCCAAUUCAAUUAUUCAGUGGUAGAGCCCUGCUAUCCAAAUGGGACCUUGCUUGGAACUUACAGAGGCAGAACAAGGACAAAACCCAAUAGAGUAUCAUCAUUCAUCUUCUUUUGUAUAUCCAGCUCCUUUUUGGUUUCCUUGUUCUUUUUAAGGCAGUGUUUGGCUGUAGAAAAUGCAAUCAAUUAAAUGAACACUUGUGUCCCCUUUUUCCCCUACUUUA